rnacentral:rRNA from 1 species
AUUGAACGCUGGCGGCAGGCCUAACACAUGCAAGUCGAGCGGAGCGGCGGACGGGUGAGUAACGCCUAGGAAUCUGCCUGGUAGUGGGGGAUAACGUCCGGAAACGGGCGCUAAUACCGCAUACUAUCAGAUGAGCCUAGGUCGGAUUAGGUAGUUGGUGGGGUAAGGGCCUACCAAGGCGACGAUCCGUGACUGGUCUGAGAGGAUGAUCAGUCAAAGUGGAAGUGAGCAACGGUCCAGACUCCUACGGGGGGCAGCAGUGGGGAAUAUUGGACAAUGGGGGAAGGCCGGAUCCAGCCAUGCCGGGUGUGGGAAGAGGGUCUUGGGAUGGUAAAGCACUUUAAGUUGGGAGGCGUUACCAACAGAAUAAGCACCGGCUAACUUCGUGCCAGCAGCCGCGGUAAAC